rnacentral:rRNA from 1 species
CGGUAAGGCCCUUUCGGGGGUACACGAGUGGCGAACGGGUGAGUAACACGUGGGUGACCUGCCCUGUACUUCGGGAUAAGCCUGGGAAACUGGGUCUAAUACCGGAUAUGACCUUCUCCUGCAUGGGGGUUGGUGGAAAGUUUUUGCGGUACAGGAUGGGCCCGCGGCCUAUCAGCUUGUUGGUGGGGUAAUGGCCUACCAAGGCGACGACGGGUAGCCGGCCUGAGAGGGCGACCGGCCACACUGGGACUGAGACACGGCCCAGACUCCUACGGGAGGCAGCAGUGGGGAAUAUUGCACAAUGGGCGAAAGCCUGAUGCAGCGACGCCGCGUGAGGGAUGACGGCCUUCGGGUUGUAAACCUCUUUCAGUAGGGACGAAGCGCAAGUGACGGUACCUACAGAAGAAGCACCGGCCAACUACGUGCCAGCAGCCGCGGUAAUACGUAGGGUGCGAGCGUUGUCCGGAUUUACUGGGCGUAAAGAGCUCGUAGGCGGUUUGUCACGUCGUCUGUGAAAACCCGAGGCUUAACCUCGGGCCUGCAGGCGAUACGGGCAGACUUGAGUACUGUAGGGGAGACUGGAAUUCCUGGUGUAGCGGUGGAAUGCGCAGAUAUCAGGAGGAACACCGGUGGCGAAGGCGGGUCUCUGGGCAGUAACUGACGCUGAGGAGCGAAAGCGUGGGUAGCGAACAGGAUUAGAUACCCUGGUAGUCCACGCCGUAAACGGUGGGUACUAGGUGUGGGUUUCCUUCCACGGGAUCCGUGCCGUAGCUAACGCAUUAAGUACCCCGCCUGGGGAGUAC